rnacentral:rRNA from 1 species
GAUGAACGCUGGCGGCGCGCCUAACACAUGCAAGUCGAACGAUUAGAGCACCUUCGGGUGUGUAUAAAGUGGCGAACGGCUGAGUAACACGUGGGCAACCUGCCCCUUUCAUUGGGAUAGCCACGGGAAACCGUGGAUAAUACCGAAUACUUCGAGACUUCCGCAUGGAAGACUCGAGAAAGCUCCGGCGGAGAGGGAUGGGCCCGCGGCCUGUUAGCUUGUUGGUGGGGUAACGGCCUACCAAGGCAAUGAUGGGUAGCUGGGUUGAGAGACCGACCAGCCAGAUUGGGACUGAGACACGGCCCAGACUCCUACGGGAGGCAGCAGUGGGGAAUCUUGCACAAUGGGCGAAAGCCUGAUGCAGCGACGCCGCGUGCGGGAUGAAGGCCUUCGGGUUGUAAACCGCUUUCAGCAGGGACGAGGCGAAAGUGACGGUACCUGCAGAAGAAGCCCCGGCUAACUACGUG